rnacentral:rRNA from 1 species
AUGGUUCGUCCCCUCUUCGCCCGGCGGCGGCCGCCGCCGGAGCACGCCGGCAUAUAUCCUAACUGGGUCCUCCUCGACACCGUAGUGCGCGGGGCAAACUACGACUGGGAGAAAAUGUCAAUGGCUGAGUGUUCUGCUUCCUUGGCUACCACAGCCAGAACAUUCGUGGAUGUCAGAAGUGAGGCGGAGUCGAAGGAAGAAGUGGUGGUGGAGUUGGAGGUUUCCUUCUUAUUCGUCAGCCCACCGGAUGUAUCUGGCUUCGUCGUCCAUGUUGGGGAUUACGGGUUGUCGUAUGGUGCCUCCGUCGUUAGCACCGAUGGCAACGCUGUUCUGCUAGCCAUUACCAUGGCAAUGUUCAACUUGCAGCGCUAUCUCGUCUACAGGGUUGACCGAGGGAAUCCGUCACUUGAGGUGCUUCCAGACCGACCUAUGCUGAAAUUCCAUCCAACCAAAGUGGUUGGCAUCCUCAGCCAUGGCAAGGGAUACGUUGUGGCUGCCUUGACGCGCAAGCUCAAAAUUGACUAUCUUGCUUAUGAGCUCUUUCUCUACACAUCCCAGACCAAGGCAUGGAGCAGCAAGGUGAUACCACUUGAGUGUACCAGGGACGCUGACCUGAUUCACGUCCUUAACCACCAUACCACCAAGGUAAUCACAGUUGGAGUGGAUUCAUUGGGGUGGGUUGACCUUUGGCGUGGUAUACUUUUCUGCAAUGUGCUUGAUGAGAAUCCAGUGGUCCGCUUCUUGAGCUUUCCUUGCCCCAUGCCGUCUAAUGCAUGUAACUUGGGAACAUCAUGUCCUAGGCCGUUUAGGGAUGUGAUCUGCAUUGGCAACACAUUGAAGUUUGUUGAGGUGGAGUAUAACCAAGGUGAAGAUGAUACUGACUAUGGUUCGAAUACUGACCAUGGUUGGAAGGCGACAACUCAGAAGAGGAAUCUCGGGUCAGAGUGGACUGAAUGCUUUAGUGUAGAUACUAGUGACAUCCUUUUAACCGAUGAAAGUUGGGAUUUGUUGUCACACAGGCUGCGGGAUGAUGAUGCACGCCAACUUUCCCUGAGUAAGUUGGAGUGUUUAGCUCCUACCCUUGGCAUGGAUGAUGACUAUCUUUACAUGAUGACCCGGCCACUUGGAAGCAAUGAGAAGCCAUUGGGUCUGUUUGCUUCUCUUGACAUUAAAAAUAAGGACAUGAGGCUUGUGUCUUUUUCUACGGAAAGGAUGUCAUAUAUUGAUCCCAACUACCGGCCAUGUACUGUUUCACAUUACUUCAACAACACCUCUGGGAAGCCUCUCAAAAGUAAGAACGAGAAAGCUGCACCGAGGUUUAUUAUUGGUGAAAAUCUCAGGUGGAUUGGUUUGGUUAAAUUAGCAGUGCUCAGCAACAUCCUUGUUUCCAUUCAAAGGCUCACGUCAUUAGAUGCAAUGCUGAUGAAACCAGAAAGGCCGGAUGAAACACAGCUAGAUCAAACACGGCUAACGAAUUGCUCUGCCUCUGUUGAAAUGCUUGGCCAGAAAGAAGAUGCAAUGUUUGACGUCCCUGAAGAUGGUCACGUUGAAGGAACCACCGCCGCUUAUCCAUUUGCGUUCUCCACCGCCGGGCACGCAUCGCGGCUUGCCGCCGGCGUCCACGCCGCAGGAGCCAAGGAAGGGGUGAUGCGUCGCGGCGGGCGUCCGCGCCGCCCGAGCCCAGGAAUGGGGCGAGCCGUCAUGGCGCUCAAGAUGGGCGCGCUGCUCGGGCAGCACAGCGACAGCAGGGCCCUCCUCGCGGACCACGCACCAGCGGUGACGCUCUUCGGGCACCGCCGUGGCCGGCUGAGCCUGGCCACCCACGAGUGCACGCGGGCGCCGCCGGCGUUCCUCAUCGAGCUGCCCAUGUUAGCGGCCGCGCUGCACAGUGGAGGCGGCGGCGGAGGGGACGGAGAUGACGGGGACAUAUCGGACUACACGCCGGAGGACGAGGGCAUCGCACCACCUACUGUUGUGUCCCGAUUACAAGAUGUGCUCCAGUGCCCCGCCUACGGGCGACUCUCCAACGACGGUUCGUCCCUUCCUCAUGACCUCAUGGAGCUAUCUCUUAUUAGAUCUAAUUGUAUCCCUGCUUGUGGUGAUUGGGUUGGGGUAGAUGAGUCGACAACGAAGCUCAAGGACGUGAUAUGGCGCUCAGUGCAAGUGGCCAUGGUGGACCUGAAGCUGGCUGAGAUAAGCGAUGGGGUCAGUGUUAUGCUCCUCCCAUUCUCAUUAACCAAAUAA